UAAGAUAUCAGUAUUUUUUAAUAAAAUUGACGACCGAAUAUCUGGAAUAUGACAACGCUAAAAAUAAUCAUCAUUUUAGCUAUUGGCGUCUCACUCGCUUUUGCCCAAGCUGCUCAACGAUGCCUAAUUCCAUCGCUCAUUAAUGGAGGGACUGGAACAAACUACGCUCAACCAUCAGACUUUCUCUGGGUAACUUCAUGUCCGCACUACACAAUGACUCAGCCGAGCGUGCAUGAAUGCAGAAUCAGUGACGGGGUUGCUUACUGGAACCCGCUCAUCUGCCCAUAAACUGCGGUUACCAUGUUGACGACCCAGAGUGAAAACUACGAGCAUUUCUAUGUCCAGCAAUAAAAUUGAGUGUUUUUAUCAAAUAUUGAUGAUAUAUAUUGUUAUUUAUGACCACGUCAUUCAUCUUACUAUUACACAUAAGAAAUAUAUUUCAAAAUUUUAAUAUAUUUAUCAUCGGAAAAUUCUGAAUCAGUGUUCAUCAACCUUUUUUGAAAUGGUACACCCUUUGGUACUCUCGUAGUAUGUGAACCAAGAUGGCGGAUAUCAGUCGUAGUAUGUGUACCAGGUUAGGGUUAUGUAAUAAUCUAUUUAUAAUUUCCCUUAAUAUAGUUCUAUUACGAGUUACGGGUAUAGCCAAGUGACUCCACUAGUAUUCGCACCUUAAAUUAUGAUCUAACCCUAACCUGAUACACAUACUAUGUUGCAGUGUCUACCAUCUUGGUUCACAUACUACGGGAGUACCGACCUUUUAAAAUUUUACUCAAAAUCUGAUACACCUCGUCCAUCCUAUGAUUCACACUAACAAAAGAUUCACGGCGUUCCAUAAGUGUGUGUACCAAUAUGGAGAUAAAUAAUUUCGUUACCUAUUUUACAUCAAGUUGUGUAAAGGGACUAAAACCUACGGGCAGGGGGUAUAUUCACUCGGUUAAAACAGACAGUUCCCGAUCUCGUAAUAGAACUAAUAUACGGAAAAUUGGUCUAAAAUUAUGACCUAAUCCCAAUCUGGUACACAUACUACGGAAGUACCUACCACAGCUACCAGCACCCUACACUACCCUCGUCUUAACCUGAUAACUUAUUAUAUGCGGGCUGACUGCCCCAUGAUAAAAAUAUCUUGAACAAAUGCUAUUACACUAACUACAACAUAACUAAUAUUUAUAAUGUUGCAAUAUUGGGUUCCAUUGACUGUGAUCUUGCCUACAAGUUCAAAAACUCGAUAGACGAAUGGGUCCGGUUGAACUUUUCCCCAUAAAAAGAUUACCCGGCUAUCUCAUAACUUUGGAAUGUUGCAAUAUUUGGUUUUAUUCGACUGUGAUUUUACCUACUUGUUUGGGCGCCUUCAAUUUAAGAACUCAAUAGACAAAAGGGAAGUGUACUUUUUUUCUGUUUUACUGGAAAGAGAGGAGACUUGGAGUUCGAUUAAUAUGCUUUACCAAUUAAAAUAUUCUACUAUUUAUGGUGAAUUAUGAAAUGAUUCUCCUUUGUGAUUUUAAUGCAAUAAAUUGUGUAAAAAAUCA